CACCAGGUUGAUUCUGCCUGACGUGGAUGCUAGUCUCAUAGGUUAAGCCAUGCAUGUGCAAGCGAAGCGUAAGUGGAGCGGCGUAAGGCUCAGUAACGGGCAGGUAUUUGAUCUCCUUGAGUGGACAUCCUCUGUAAGCGGAGGGCAAAACACGAUACCGGCAGCAGAAGUGUUGAUGGUAGAACGGAAGUGGAGGAGAGUAAGCAGCCAUCCCAUCAGUUAGUAAGUAGGGUAAGGGCCUACUUAGACGUAGACGGGUACGGGGAAUUAGAGUUUGAUUCCGGAGAGGGAGCCUGAGAGACGGCUACCGGGUCCAAGGACAGCAGCAGGCGCGAAAAUUACCGAAGCCUCCGGUGAGGGCGGUAGUAAGGAGACGUGAAAACGAGGCGCGGAUAAAAGAAGCGCUAGUAACAGGAGGGCAAGACUGGUGCCAGCAGCCGCGGUAAUACCAGCUCCUGGAGUAUCGAUGGUGAUUGCUGCAGUUAAAGAGUUCGUAGUCAGAGCGGGUAUUCGAGCGCAACAGGUCGCCACUCAAGGGGGGCACGACGUGCGAACGCCGCGGAAUAAGGAGCGUCUAGGGGCCGCGUUAUUAAGCGACGAGGGGUGAAAUCUGGUGACUCGCUUAGGAGCAACAGAGGCGAAAGCGGCGGCCAGGGGCGAAUCCGAUGAUAAAGGACGUAGGCUAGAGGAUCGAAGACGAUUAGAGACCGUUGUAGUUCUAGCAGUAAACGAUGCCGAUGCCGUGGCGCGGAAACGCGACGCGGAAGAGAAAUCGAGUAGGGCCCUGGGGAGAGUACGCGCGCAAGCGAGAAAUUUAAAGGAAAUUGACGGAAGAACACCACAAGGAGUGGAGUGUGCGGCUUAAUUUGACUCAACGCGGGACAGCUUACCAGGCCCGACGGCCGCAGGAGUGUUGUACACGAUAGGCCGGAGAGUGGUGCAUGGCCGUUAACGACGAGUGGGGUGACCUUAGGGUUAAGUCCGGGAAGUAGUGAGACCCCUGCGAUAGUAGGACAGGUGCGCAAAGCACAGGAAGGAAGGGUCAAGAACAGGUCAGUGAUGCCCUUAGAUGGUCUGGGCGGCACGCGCACUACAGUGGUCACGGAAAUGGAGAAGAAAGAAGAAAAAGUGAUCGAGAGGGAACGAGGUCUGGAAGGGGCUCGGGAACGAGGAAUUGCUAGUAAUCGCGGACUCAUUAAGACGCGAUGAAUACGUCCCUGUUCUUUGUACACACCGCCCGUCGUUAUCGAAGAUGGAGUCAGGCGCGAACAAGCGAGAGCGAGUAAGUGCAGGAUUCUAGAUGUGAUACAAGUCGUAACAAGGUAGCUGUAGGAGAACCAGUAGCAGGAUCAUAA
rnacentral:rRNA from 1 species